CUUCUUGUUACCCUAAUGUGCAACAUGAAAUGCAGCAUGGCAAAUAAGGAUCAUGAAGUAGGAGUGAAUGUAAAGGUUCAGCAUGGAGGGUGUCACCAUGGCAAGAACUCAGAGAGAGGAGAGGAAUGCACAAGUGAGGAUGAUCAUCUUGGUUUGUAUGCUGAUGUUGAUGACACUUUCAAGGCCAAGCACCAUGUUAAGGUUACUCAUACUCAUAAUCAUAAUCAUAACAAUCAUCAUGGCAAACAUCAUCAAAAUGCUGAGCAUGACUCACCACACAGUGGUAACAACAAUGUCCAUGUCUUGGGACAUUGAUCAACAACGGAAUCAUCAUCAUCUUUUCUUUUCUUUUAUGUUGCUUUGAGUAAUUAAUUAAUCAUCAAUUUGUCACAUUUUUGUUUUUUUUUUUUUUCGUUAGUAAUUUUGAUGUGGUAAGAGUUAUUUAUAUGUUUCUUUUUCUUGUUAUUAUUAUGGAAUUUGGAUGAGAUAAAUUAUUAUGAUAUGAGUCAUUUUCUUGGAGAAUAUAUGCAUGGGUGUUAUUAGGGUUACAAAUCUCGGAGUGGAAUGUAUUGUAUUUCUAUUUUCAUUCUAUAUCCUUCUUACCA
rnacentral:lncRNA from 1 species